CCUACGGGAGGCAGCAGUGAGGAAUAUUGGUCAAUGGACGAGAGUCUGAACCAGCCAAGUAGCGUGAAGGAUGACUGCCCUAUGGGUUGUAAACUUCUUUUAUAAAGGAAUAAAACGAGGCACGUGUGCCUUUUUGCAUGUACUUUAUGAAUAAGGAUCGGCUAACUCCGUGCCAGCAGCCGCGGUAAUACGGAGGAUCCGAGCGUUAUCCGGAUUUAUUGGGUUUAAAGGGAGCGUAGAUGGGUUGUUAAGUCAGUUGUGAAAGUUUGCGGCUCAACCGUAAAAUUGCAAUUGAUACUGGCAGUCGUGAGUACAGUUGAGGUAGGCGGAAUUCGUGGUGGAGCGGUGAAAUGCUUAGAUAUCACGAAGAACCCCGAUUGCGAAGGCAGCUUACUAAACUGUGACUGACAUUGAUGCUCGAAAGUGUGGGUAUCAAACAGGAUUAGAUACCCGUGUAGUC
rnacentral:rRNA from 1 species